AUUGAACGCUGGCGGCAGGCCUAACACAUGCAAGUCGAGCGGAGCGGCGGACGGGUGAGCAAUGCCUAGGAAUCUGCCUGGUAGUGGGGGAUAACGUCCGGAAACGGGCGCUAAUACCGCAUACUAUUUGAUGAGCCUAGGUCGGAUUAGCCAGUUGGUGGGGCAAAGGCCUACCAAGGCGACGUUCCGUAACUAGUCUGAGAGGAUGAUCAGUCACACUAGAACUGAGAAACGGUCCAGACUCCUACGGGAGGCAGCAGUGUGGAGUAUUGGACAAUGGGCGAAGGCCUGAUCCAGCCAUGCCGCGUGUGUGAAGGAGGUCUUCGGAUUUUAAGGCACUUUAAGUUGUGAGUCAUUACCAACAGAAUAAGCACCGGCUAACUUCGUGCCAGCAGCCGCGGUAAUAC
rnacentral:rRNA from 1 species